GCUAGCACAUGGUUAAAGUCAAUUCUUCUCUGGACUUGAAUUCCUUAUUAAAUAAAGUUUGGUUCAAGCCCAUAGCCUUGAAUCUAAUCUAGAUCCACUUUGAUUUGAAUUUGGAGGGGCAUCUAUUUGAGGGCCCAAAAGGAUUGGAUCAAGCCAAUGAGUUGGCAAAUAAAUUAUUUUAUUUUUUUCCCUUGAUAUUUUUUUUUUGACAUGGAUUAAUUGGAA
rnacentral:lncRNA from 1 species